UUCCAGGAAUGUAGGUACUACCGUUCUAUUCCGUGAACAUCUAUCUGAUUAAAUUAUGGGUGGAAAGUUACCACAAGAUAUUCUAUGAACAUAGUACAAUGUCUUCCUGGAGGGGUAAAAUUUUCCAUUACAAGAUUUUAAGAGAGGCCAUUUACUAUUCAAUUUGCGUUCAUUUUCAAAUUUGCCGCGCGAGUAUCUAUGUAGCGUCGCGUGGUCAUUGGCAUUCAUUGGUCAUCACAUUUCAUAUAUUUAUUUCAUUUUCAUGGAUAACCGAUAACCUAAAAAUUUAGUAAAAAUUUUGAUUGGAAAAAAAUGCAUCGAUAACUGUCGAUAAGGGGGUGUGGGAAAUGGAAAUUAGUGGCUUUUUUGCUGUACUGUCUGAGUUUUUGCUCUGGGCUCUGGCUGGAUCUCUUGUUUAAACAAUUUUAAUCGGCUGAAAGUGGUCUACAAAAAAAACCAAGGAGGAAAUGUAUAGCCUUGUGGCUAUGAAAGGCAAAAGAGAGAUAUAAAAAGUGUAUUGGCUAGUUGGAAGAAAGUCCACAUUGUCCAUGCAUAAUAAGUUAUUACUUUAUCAACAAAUAUCAAGAAGAUAGCAGGAAUAAGUCACGAGCAACAACUUCAUAAGUUCAAGAAUAUUGAGGAAAUCCAGCUCCUCGAUACUACUGGGCAAACUAGAAGAUUGAAGAGGACAAAGCCUUUUGAACUAGUUUGAGUGAUAGGUGAUAGUGAAAAACGGAGCAUAGUGCUUGUGUGCUGUGCCUGUGUAUGUUAGAAUAGUGCACGAUCUUGUUAGAUUAGAUAAGAGACGCUAUGGGGUAAGCUCUUCAUUUUAAGAAACAAUAGUAAUUUAGGUUAAAUUAAAAUUGCUCAUUGGUCAGUUAUGACCAGAUUGUUUUUUUAUGUUUGGCAAAAAGGGCUUAAGUCAGAAUUGCACAUUGAUAAUGUUUUGAUGAUUUCUGGACCAGAAAAAAACUGUUGUAGAUGUAAACUGUAUGUACAGUAGAAUCUACUACAGUACUGUAGAAAUCAUCAAAACAUUAUCGAUGUGCAAUUCUGACUUAAGCCCUUUUUCCCAAACAUCAGAGAAUUGUAAUGUACAAUAAUUCUCCUAUCUGAUUUUUCAUGAAUUUUGUAGGAGACGAAAAACCAUUUUUAGGAUCAUCUGCUUUCACAUGUAAACAUGUCAAAAAAUAUAUGAAAACAGGAGGUGACUAUACAAAAAGUUUUUAGUCUCUCUUACAAAACUCAUGAAAAACAAAUCGGAGAUAUGUCACAUCGGUGACUAUAUCCAGGGAAUGUCUAAAAAAUAUACUUUGAUGU